AACGAACGCUGGCGGCAUGCCUAACACAUGCAAGUCGAACGAAGGCUUCGGCCUUAGUGGCGCACGGGUGCGUAACGCGUGGGAAUCUGCCCUUUGCGUCGGUAUACCAGCUGGAAACGGCUGCUAAUACCGGAUGAUGACGACAGACCAAAGAUUUAUCGCCAGAGGAUGAGCCCGCGUUGGAUUAGGUAGUUGGUGGGGUAAAGGCCUACCAAGCCGACGAUCCAUAGCUGGUCUGAGAGGAUGAUCAGCCACACUGGGACUGAGACACGGCCCAGACUCCUACGGGAGGCAGCAGUGGGGAAUAUUGGACAGUGGGCGCGAGCGUGAUCCAGCAAUGCCGCUUGAGAGAUGAAGGCGCUAGGGUUGUAAAGCUCUUUUACCCGGGAAGAGAAUGACGGUACCGGGAGAAGAAGCCCCGGCUAACUCCGUG
rnacentral:rRNA from 1 species